rnacentral:lncRNA from 1 species
UGGGAGGGAGAGCUAAACCUUCAGAGAGGCAGACACGCCUGGGAAACCAGAAGAGACUACACUCUGCCCACAUUACUGAUUCCAGAGGAAAACACCAAACGCCAUCUGGAACCCUGGUGCACGGAAGCUCCCGGAAAGGGUGGCGCAGAUCUUCCUGAUUGCUGCCCCCACGGAGAGCUCAUAAGCAACACCCCAUGAGCAAACCUGAGCCUCGGGACCACAGGUAAGACAAACCUUCCUACUCCAAGCGACCUGCCUGGUGAACUCAAGACACAGGCCCACAGGAACAGCUGAAGACCUGUAGAGAGGAAAAACUACACGCCCGAAAGCAGAACACUCUGUCCCCAUAACUGACUGAAAGAAAACAGGAAAA